rnacentral:rRNA from 1 species
UCCUAUGGACAUACCACUUUGUUAAUGUUCGAUCUUGUCUGUUCUCUGAAGCUAAGCAGGGUUGGGCCUGGCUAGUACUUGGGUGGGAGACCGUUGGAAGAUCAGAUGCCACAAUGGGGC